CAACACAAAAUAAUGCAACUUAUAAAAAAGCGAAUGUCACAAUACUAAAACAGGGGAUGUAACAGAUUAUCAGUCAUACUAGGUUUCUGAUGCACCAAACACGAACACGAACACGAACGCGAACGCAUGCUCGUCAGGCGGACUCUGCUGACCGAUCAUUAGGUUGAUCGUCGACUAACCAUCGGUUAAGCCGUUGUCGGGCUACGGAGACCUAAAAGGCCAGAAAACGAAAAUAUGAAUUUCGUGGAAAUGAGGACUAAAGAUGGAAAUUAAGAGGCUUACCUGUUUUUCCCAAUCAGUUCUCUCAGUUAUGAUCAUCAGCAUUAUAGUUUGAAUCAAAGUGCCUAUCAGCAUUCCAAUCCAGACCCCCUGACCAUACACAAAUUUGAUGACAAGACACAUUAUGGUUAGGGUUAGCAUUUUUAAAAAUAAACCAAGUUGAGGUCAUUCUUCAAAAAAGGUUCCAAAUUUCGAGUUAUAGUAAGGGGGUCUAGAAACUGACCUCUACAUGUAAUUUCAUGACAUAACCAAGCAAAACUCCAACAGGAAUUCCUAUAAAGUAGUAGCAUCCAAGAUUAACAUACACAACCACACUCUGCCAACCUGCCCCAAUCGCCACUCCUGUUUAGGAUCACAACACUAAUCUCUCAGACCACUGUUAAGGAUGUCUCGUUGCUCUAGCGAAUGGUGCGGAGUUGCAGCAAAGAAGCAAGACAUAGAUUAGGCCUCACUCACCAGAAAGAACUGGCUGGAUACUAUUCAUGAGGAUGGAGAAUGCCAGCAGAGGCGAGAGGCGAGCAACCUCAGCAGCCACAUCAUGAUCCUGGUGAAUAUAUAAGCCAGGCGUGUGCGAAGACUAGGAAGAGCGCCAACAGCACGACGCCCUAUGGUCAUUGAAGUCAGCACUAUGUUCACAAUGGAGAACUUUGCAGCCUUGGAAUCACCCUUCCCAAGCUCGUUUGACACGCGUACGCUGUGGGAAGAUAAUGGGAUCAAUCAAGACUGAUCAUGUAGGCUUAUAGCACUUGGUUUUAUCUAGCUACCAUACCUUGCUGCAGCCAAGAAUCCUAGAGAUAUCAUCAUUUCCCAGCCAUUGAUGUUGAGACUGCGCGAAAUUGAAUUUAUUACAUUCUAACUUUUGUCAAUUAGAUUAACAACUCCUNAAAUAAACUGAAAAUUCGAAAAUAAAUAAAUAAAUAAAAAUCUGGAAAAUUAUUUUUUUAGAAAAUAAAUAAACUUAAAGUUAGAAAAUAAAUAAAUAAACUGAAAAUUUAGAAAAAUAAAUAAACUGGAAAUAAAUAAAUAGACUGAAAAUUUGAAAAUAAAUAAAUAAACAAACUGAAAAAUUACAAGAAAAAUAAAUAAAAAUGGAAAUUAAAUAAAUAAAAUUAAACUAAAAAAUUCGAAAAAUAAAUAAAUAAACUGAAAAUUCAGAAAAUAAAUAAACUGAAAAUAAAUAAAUAAAUAAAUAAACUGGAAAUAGAUAAAUGAAUAAAUAAACUGGAAUUAAAAAUUUUCAGAAAAUAAAUAAAUAAAUAAACUGAAAAUUGAAAAAUAAAUAAACUGAAAAAUUCGAAAAUAAAUAAAUAAACUGAAAAUUCAAAAAAUAAAUAAACUGGAAAUAAAUAAAUAAAUAAACUGGAAUUAAAAUAAAUAGAAAAUAAAUAAAUAAAUAAACUAAAAACUGAAAAAUAAAUAAACUGGAAAUAAAUAAAUAAACUGAAAAUUCGAAAAUAAAUAAACUGGAAUUAAUAAAUAAUAAACUGAAAUUCGAAAUAAUAAUAAUAUUAAAAUCUGGAAAAUGAUAUUUUUAGAAAAUAAAUAAACUGGAAUUAAAUAAAUAAAUAAACUAAAAAAUACGAAAAUAAAUAAAUAAAAAUCUGGAAAAUUAUUAUUUUUAGAAAAUAAAUAAACUGAAAAUAAAGAAAAAUAAAUAAAAUAAACUAAAAAUUCAGAAAAUAAAUAAAUAAAAAAACAGAAAAUAAAAAAUAAAUAAACUGAAAAUUCAAAAAUAAAUAAACUGAAAAUUCAGAAAAUAAAUAAACCGAAAUUAAAAUUUUCAGAAAAUAAAUAAAUAAAUAAACUAAAAACUGGAAAAAAAAAUAGAAAAUAAAUAAACUGAAAAUUAAAAAAAUAAAUAAAUAUACUGAAAAUUCCGAAAAUAAAUAAAUUGGAAAAUAAAUAAACUAAAAAUUUAAAAUAUCCUACUCCAUUUAAUUAACAUCAAAAUUAGAUUAAGUAGACAAGUAAUGGUAGAGUGUGGUGGGUCCAAUUGGUAAAGUGUAGUAAUUUAAAAAGUAAGGGGAGGGUAUAUGUGUCCAAAAAGCAGAGUAGGUAGUUAAUUGGUGGACAAAAUUUUAGAGGCAAAUGGGUAGUUGAUUGGUGGACGGAGGGAGUAGUUUUUAGUACCAUUACGGAGAACGAAAUUUUAUUGGUUCAAUUUAGAUCUCUUUAAUUUAAAAAAAGCAUAAAAAAUAAUUUUAGAAUGAAUACGUUAUGGUAAUUUAAAGUUAUUUUUGUUUUUUUCUUUCCUCUUUACUCUAUUUAAGUGUUUUUUUCCUCCUUAAUGACAUGUUUACUUUAUAUAUAUUUAUUAUAUUUAUUUAAUUUCUUUUCAUAUCUUUCUUUUGUGUUUUUAAAGGGAAAAUAAGUAAAUAUCAUAUUUUAUGUUAUACAUAUUUUUUUUAAUUGUUAUAGUUUAGAAUGUAAUAGAGGUAAAGAAAAAUAUAUUGGUUCAUUUUAUUACUCUUUUUUAAAAAAAUAUUUUUUGUAUUAAUUUAAUUAUAACUUUGUAGAUGAAUAAUUAGUAUAUAUAUUAAAGUAUAAUUUUAAAUUAAAUUUUUAUUUAUGUUUGUGUAUGAAAAAUAUUUAUUUAUUUAUCUAUUUAUUAUGAUGCGUAAUACUUUAUAAUAAUAAUAAUGUGUAAUGCUAGUUUUUCAUUAUAAAAUACUAAUUUUCAAUUGUUUAAUAACUAUAAUUAUUAUUAAUUUUAAACAAAGUUGAAAAUUUACGUUUUCAAAUUUAGAUUGAGUAAUUAGCGUGGAUAAUUUAUUUUAGUUUUUAAAACAUAUUAUACAUUUGCUUAUAUUUUAAUUAUACUUAACAUUAAUAUUUAUUUAUUUAAAUAUAUUAUUUAAUUUUAAUGUUUGUCGUGCAUUGCACGGAUGAACAUACUAGUUAACCGUAAAUUAGAGUUACAGAAAGAAAAUGUGACGGUUGGCUCAUAAAAAUUAAACAUUUCACUGUUUUAGAUCCCGUUUCUUCUACGUAAAAUAGAUAUCUGCGUCGUUUACUUAUUAUUUGAAUGUCGUGUGAGUUGGUCUCACCCUAUAAGAUGAAUAAUUAUAACAUCAACAAAAAUCCAAAUGGUGAAAGUAACACUUCUUCUACCAUGUACAAGUAUCUUUUGUCUUCUCAAUUAUAGAAACAACAUGACAUAUUGAUAAUGCAUGUGGCAUCUUGAAAAGAGAUAUACAACUUACCUUGAACGACAAACGUGACAAUUCAGGUGCUGACUGCUGAUGUGAGUUGAAAUUAAUACAAUGGUUAUGGAAAAUCACCAAAACAUAUCUGAUCACAUCAAGAAUGAGCUGGCCAUUCUCUAAAUCAACACAAAAUAAUGCAACUUAUAAAAAAGCGAAUGUCACAAUACUAAAACAGGGGAUGUAACAGAUUAUCAGUCAUACUAGGUUUCUGAUGCACCAAACACGAACACGAACACGAACGCGAACGCAUGCUCGUCAGGCGGACUCUGCUGACCGAUCAUUAGGUUGAUCGUCGACUAACCAUCGGUUAAGCCGUUGUCGGGCUACGGAGACCUAAAAGGCCAGAAAACGAGAAAUAUGAAUUUCGUGGAAAUGAG
rnacentral:lncRNA from 1 species